GACUUACAGCUGGGUAUCUCGAAUUCCGAGGUGAACUUACUAUAAUGACUGGACUAAAACCCGUGGGUUCGCGGCCUUCCUAUGAUCUGGUGGAAUACAACCGAGGUGAAGUCGAUUUGGGAUGCAAACUUUCAGGAAUAUUCUUCAUUUUGCGGGUUUUGCGUUGAGAUGGUACAGCUCGUCCCAAGUCAAUUCCUCUGCUGUAAAAUAAAAGAGUAAAGUGAGAGCAAAAGAGCGGGUAUAUUCGUAGCAGCAACAUUGUUAUUCCUCGUCACUUUCAAUGAGGUGAUUUCUCAGGGUUAGUGCUUACUGUGGAGAGAGUUCUCCUUAUGCAAAUGGUUUGUAGGUAAGUAAAGGUCUCUCCAACAUCCAGAUGUCUUUAUAUAAUUCUUGCAACGUCCUUUGCUAAGAUGAGACCGAUACAUAUUUCUCUAUCCCUAAUUUCAUAACACGCAAGGACGAAGAUCAUCGAUUAUACCUAUACAUCCUCAGCAACUUCUCUAAUAGCAAUUUUCUUCACUUUCUCAACAUUUUCAUUGGUAGCUGAUGUGCUGGGGCGUCCAGGGCAUGCGUAGUCAUUCUCGACCUUCUGCGAAAAGCUUUUACCACUUGUAUAUUCCGCUGUGGAACACACACAGUUUGGAAAUGACGUCAUUGCAUAAAAGAACGUGCUUAUUCGUGACUACGUCAUCAGUAAUAAAGGUUGCAUAAUCAGUAGUCGUUAAUAGCACUUAAUUAAACAAUAAUAAAAUGAUUCAUAGUGAAUAAUUCCAGUCGUAUUGGCCAUAAUUUUUUGGUAUUAACGAUUUAUUCAGGAAUGCCAUAACAAUGAAUUAAAAUAUUUACAAUGAAAGUACGCAACACGUAAAACACCGUGACGUUGAAUAUGACGUUCAGGUGUAUGAGUGACGUAAUGCCAAAACGUGGGUCUCUCCAUCCUUUUUUAGAUGUUGGAGUCCGUGUCCCCUAUUUAAUGUUCGGUCCAUAUUACGCCGUCUCUGGUGAUGGGGAAAGCUGACAUACCGUUUACAGCGCCUUUCAUUAUAUUUAACAAAAGAGGCGAUUUUAAACCGACAGUAAUCAUAAGUGGUAGAAAAAAAUGUUGUGUAGUUCGAGUUAUAGAUUACUUGGUUACUGUAAGCCAGUCCAGCAUACCUGACAAUUCUCUUGAAAAUUAUAUGAACAAGUUUACUGAUAAAUACUGAAAAUAACGUUAAAUAAAAGUAUACCAGAGCCGCUUGCAUAAUGAUAUUAAAUUCACGACUCUAACAGGCACCAAUUUCCCACCACCUCAGUGAUGUGAUUUAUACUGAUUCAAUGAUGGAAUUUCCAGAAUCAAUACCUAAAUCUCGAACUAGUUCCGAGAUAAGCCGACGUUUCAUCUAUAAAAAUUUAAGUGGAAACAUCCUUGACGAAUGUGACUGAAGUCUCGCAUACAAUUUCUAAUUACCCUUCAUCAUUCGCAAAAUAAUUAUCAUCGUGUAAUCGUCUAGUAUUUCGGUUCGGCAAUUUUGACGAAUAUGAAAAGAAAAUCAGCUGUCAAGAAUUCAGUUCGCAAAAGUAAAAGAAGAAGAGUCUGAACACGAAAAAAAAGUCUCUGGAAGAAAGUGAAUCUGACCUUGGUCGAACUGAAUUUCGAAAGAGUUGGUCCACCGCUAUUGGUAACCCACCAAUAAUAUGGUUCCUUUUUUGGAAAAAAAAGAUUUGGAGGAAGCCUAUUGAACAAACGAAAAUUUGAGAACAAUGAUCAAAAACAAUAAUCGGGAGUAUAUAAUCUGAUUUCCUGUCUCUAACGUUAUAUUGGUCAAACGGGGAGAAUGAUAUUCAGAAGAAAGAAAGAACAUAGAAAAAAAGCUUUCGAAAGGGAAGGCAAAUUCGACAUUUGCAAACCAUCUUUUGCGGUGCAUCACUUCAAGAUAAUACUCCUUAUUGACAGUACGACCAUGUGGAAAGAAAUCCUGAAUGAAUUUCCAAUCAAGUAUUAACCAGUUACCUGAAACAUUGA